UCUCUCUCGCUCUCUCUCUCUCUCUCUCUGCUGGUUCAUCAUUUCGCUUUAAAGUGAAGGUAGAAAAUGGCGGUUCAGGGAACAGUGUUUACACCGUCAUUGGAAGGAAUGAAACAUGUGAAAUCUGAGCAAGGAGAAAUGCUCACCAAGCCUUUCUUGGAUGUCUGCAAAUUGAUUUUGCCUGUUAUCGAUAAGUUUGGAGCUGCUAUGGCCCUUGUAAAAUCUGAUAUCGGCGGC
rnacentral:misc_RNA from 1 species